CUGGGCUUGGCUUUACUGGCUUGUUGAACCAGCAGAAUAUGACAGAAGUGACACUCCAACCUCUGAAAAGACUGUAAAAACACCUUGCAAUUUCUACCUGAGCCUCUUAAAAGGAUCACUCUUGGGAUGCUGUCUCUGAGGACUGUGGCCAUAUGAAAGGUCUCAGCCACAUGAAAAGGUUAUUGGUUGGUGUUCAGGCAUGUAGCUCCAGCAGAACUCCUAGGAAACAGUCAUCAUCAACUGCCAGCCAUGCCACAUUCCAACUCAACUGAACCUUUAGACGAAUGUAGCCCUAGCCUCUAUUUGACUUCAACUACAAGAGAGAUGCCAAGCUGAGACCAGUUAAGCCACAGAACUCUUUCAGAAAAGUCAUAUUGUUCUCAAAUGACCUAGCUUUUACCUUCGUUAACUCAAACCUGCACCCAUCUGAAGUGAAACCAGCAACCAUUUAACAGCAAACAGUAGCAGCAGCAUGCACCAAAAGAGAAUGGAAAGUGAAAAGAACACAACAGAUCAUUUUAAAAGUAGUGUGUCAAUUGCCUGGUUCUCCACUGACAGCUAAAAUUAAACAAAAAAGUGAAUUCCGUUCUACAGUGUGACCAUCUUAUGGGAACACUAGAGGAUAUCCAUAGACAGCAGAGAAAAAAUAGCAAAAUAGAUAUUUUGACUCACAGAAAAUGAAUGUUUGCAAAGAUUCACCAAGAAAUAAAGUCAACCAAAAAAGCAAAGUCAUGGAAAAGAAAUGCAAAUCUCCACAAAAGGCAGCUUUUCAGGGCUAUUCCUGUCUACACGCCCUCUGAAUAACCAUCUCAAAAUAUGUUCAAGAAGUAUAUUUUGGAGGUGGCAUUGCAGAUGGGAUCUCAAAGCCAAGUCUCUACAUAUGAUACAGGCAAACAGAUGUUUGUAAGUAAUAUGCUUGUAA
rnacentral:lncRNA from 10 species